rnacentral:rRNA from 1 species
UUUUAUUUGAGAGUUUGAUCCUGGCUCAGGAUGAACGCUGGCGGCGUGCCUAACACAUGCAAGUUGAGCGAUUUACUUCGGUAAAGGGCGGCGGACGGGUGAGUAACGCGUGGGUAACCUACCCUGUACACACGGAUAACAUACCGAAAGGUAUGCUAAUACGGGAUAAUAUAUUUGAGAGGCAUCUCUUGAAUAUCAAAGGUGAGCCAGUACAGGAUGGACCCGCGUCUGAUUAGCUAG